rnacentral:tRNA from 1 species
GGUCUUAUAUUCAUUAUAUGAUAUUAGAAUGCAAUUCUAAUGGUGUAAAAUUACUAAGACUU